rnacentral:lncRNA from 1 species
AUAGAACCAAUUCAAAAAAAGAGUUUAUUUGUGAAGGGAAGAACUGAAAAGAAAGAAUUUAACUUUUCAAGGUAAGAUGGAAAGGGGGAGAUCCAAAGCAAGAUCUAUAUCCGAAGAUAGAAGUAAUAAGAAAUGUCAUAAUCGUGGGAAGUUGGGACAUUUCAAAAGAGUCUGCUUUGAUUGGAAAAAGAAAUAGAAAGAUCUGAAUAAUAAUGAUCUAAGUAAUACAGC